GACGAACGCUGGCGGCGUGCUUAACACAUGCAAGUCGAACGGUGAAGCGCCUUCCUUUUUGGUGGGUGUGGAUGAGUGGCGAACGGGUGAGUAACACGUGAGUAACCUGCCCCCUUCUUCUGGAUAACCGCAUGAAAGUGUGGCUAAUACGGGAUAUUCUGGGUCUGUCGCAUGAUGGGUCUGGGAAAGAUAUUGUUUCGGUGGGGGAUGGGCUCGCGGCCUAUCAGCUUGUUGGUGGGGUGAUGGCCUACCAAGGCGGUGACGGGUAGCCGGCCUGAGAGGGUGGACGGUCACACUGGGACUGAGACACGGCCCAGACUCCUACGGGGGGCAGCAGUGGGGAAUAUUGCACAAUGGGCGAAAGCCUGAUGCAGCGACGCCGCGUGAGGGAUGGAGGCCUGCGGGUUGUGAACCUCUUUCGCCAGUGAAGCAGGCCUGCCUCGUUUGUGGGUGGGUUGACGGUAGCUGGAUAAGAAGCGCCGGCUAACUACGUG
rnacentral:rRNA from 1 species